CAAACUAAUCGCCUAGAUGGAUGAGUUCUCGGUCGCUGCUCCGCUCGGUGAUACAUAUGAAAUACCCAUCAGAAACAACAUAAUGCUGAAUGUGUAGCGAAGAAGACUAGGCAGGCUUAUGUUGGUGUUUCCUUAAACCUGUAAUAGGCUACAAGCAUCAGAUACCGUGUGUAACUCUCUGUUGUCGCUGAAGAAUCUGUAUGUUCUGAUAUCUAAAUAUUGGAGAAUUUUUUUAAUAUAAUUGCAUUUGGUGAUACCUUGGAAGGAUGAGCCUUCAAGGUUUACAUCAAAUAGGAUGGUUUCAUGCAAGGAGCCGUAUACAAGCUACAUCGGAGGCUCCACAAUAUUGUAUUGAGGGUUUUCCUGUUGAAAGAUUUAGAUGCAUCUUAUUCUUCAUGUUUUGACCAUGAAUAGUGUUUCUUCUGUAAAGAAACUUCUGGGUAA